AUGAACGAGGCCCUCGUGGUCUUGAUCCCACGCCUCUCUGGCUGUGCGGCCUUUUGGGGCCAGCACGCUUGAGAACACGUGAUUCUCACACCUGUGCACCUUUGGAAACGAGGAAUUUCAUUUCUCGAGUCUGAUCACACACUCUGUAUUGGUUAUGAAAGUCCUUUAUUCUUUAAUGAAAAAUA
rnacentral:misc_RNA from 1 species